GUUCCUUUUAGCAGAAGCUUAAAACAUAGUUUUUUUAAAAAUUAAAGAUCAGAGUUUCAAUGUUGCAAUCUAGGGAAAAAUUGCAGUGUAACAGUGAAGCAUUUUCCCUUUUUCUUUUUCUUUACUUUUUUUUCUUUUUUUGGUCGUGGGGAGUGGGGAAAUGCAAUCAACACUCCCUCUGCCAUAUGCUUCAACUUUCAUGUCUGUUUUGCCAUCAUCUAUUCCAUUAACACUAUGAUUAAUGAAACCUCACUAGAAUUUCAAAUAUAUUGAAAAGUAGCCAAUGACAGCUCUUUGGAGGCUACAUUGAAAAUAAAUAACAAUAAAAACAGGGCGACUUAGGCUUUUGAAGUCUUUAAAGAAACCAUGACUAUGAUCUUUACUACUGCUGCAGAAAAGAGGACAGCACUCCACAUUUCUGGCAUUGUAAAUGACAACACUGCAACUGAAAGAAAGCUUGAAUUUCUGCAAGUAGCUUUAGGAUACAGGACUCCUGCUGAGCUCACCAGUUCCUUGCUCUACACAGCUGCUUUCUCAGCUGGGGUUUUGAAAUUAGCACUGUGAGAAAAGACAGAAAUGACCAGGAUGCAUCUUCCUCACUACGAGAAAAAGAGUAAUAUGCAGUCCACGAGCUGGAGAGCCAAUCUGGUACUUUGAAAGGAAAGAUUCUUGCUUUCUUGAAGCAACAUAGCAUCUCAAGGUGGUGCUUGAGUACCGCAAAAACAGAGAUGCAUGUUCUCUACAUGCCGGAAGCAGUCAUCCUGUUGCUAAGGAAACAGCCUCACUCAGCAAGGGUCACCUUUGGAAACAACUGCAAGACUUCAAAGCAGAUUAAUAGAGAAAUACCAAGACCCGAACUUCCUAGCUAAUGUUGUCUUCUAUUUUAAAUACCCUUUUCAACAAAGGUUUGCUUAUGUGAUUUCUGUUUAGUGGGCAGUAGCAAGGCAAAAUUGAAUAUGUAGUUAGUCGAGCCCAGUAUCUUUCAAGCUCUGGCUCUUGGAGAUCUGUGGCUUUUGGUAGAUGCUUUGAGUGUGGGAUUGUGCAGGAACAGCAGGAUGGAGACGGACUGACAUCAGGUUUACAAAGAGACGCUGAAUUUAUGACUUCAUUUGAGGGAAGGUUUCCACUCAUUAAAAGAUGUAGCGUCUUUACUCAUACAAGCAUAUGCCGUUACUCAUUUGUCCACAUUGGUGAGAUUUUCUAAUUUGUGAAAAGUCUUGUCAUAUCUUAGGUUUAUGCACAUUUUUGUAUUACUGAAGCGGAUUUCAUUCAUGCAUCCAUUUAUUCAUUUAUUUGUGACAUAUCUUUGAUUUCCUACCAUUUCAGGUACCCUGGGGAUAAGAAGUGAAUAGAACAUAUUUAAGGUCUGGGGGACUCAAUCUGAAGAAGAAAGCAGAUAUGGAAACAAAACAGUGGAAUCACUUGCAGAGGGGACACAAGGAGAUGCUUAUAAUUUUGUCCUGGGGAGGCCAUGAGGAUAAAUUUACCGGAACUUCAGAGUGCCCUUCUUGGGAAUGCUUCUCUUCUUUGCUUGUUCUACCAUAUUUUUACAAAUAACAAGAAGUAUCAGGUGAGCUAACCAAUAGACCAUUGCAUUUCACGUUCACUCUCAAAUCACUAAGUAGAACAAGUGGUUCCUUCUGUAGCUCAUCAGUGCUUGCCAUAACAUAAUCUCCCAUCCUUAUAUAUAGCAAAAAC